AUGGCCCCGGUGGAGACCCAGACGCUGCGGGAACAGCCGGAGAUGGAAGAUGCUGAUAAUUCUGAAAAGAGUAUACAUGAAGAAAAUGGAGAAAAACAUAAAUUCUUGAAAGAAUUUGAUGCCGAUCCUGAUGACAAACUUCAUUGUCUGCGACUCUUCAGGUGCUUCUAUCACAAAUAUCUCUGUCUCAUAUUCGAGCCUCUCAGUAUAAACUUACAAGAGGUGUUAAAAAAUAUGAUAAAGAUACUGGUUUUCAUAUUAAAGCUGUAAGAUCCCAUAGUCAGCAGUUUUUCCUGGCAUUGAAAUUCCUCAAAAUAUGCGAUAUCCUACAUGUAGACAACAAGCCAGACAAUAUCCUGGUUAAUCAUCAGAAACUAUUUUAAAGUUUGUGCUCUGGGGUUGGCUUCACAUGUUGCGGAUAAUGACGUUAUACCUUAUCUUGUCAGUAGAUUUUAUCGUGCUGUUGAAAUCAUUAUAGGUAAAAGCUGUGACUAUGGUAUACAUAUGUGGUCAGUAAGUUGCACCUUAAAUGGACUCUAUACUGGAAAAAUUUUAUUUCCUGGCAAAACUAAUAACUGUAUAUUGAAGCUUGUGAUGAAUCUCAAAGGAAAGAUGCCAAAUACGAUGAUUCAAAAGGUGCAUUCAAAGAUCAGCAUUUUGAUCAAAAUCUCAACUUCAUGUACAUAGAAGUUGAUAAAGUAACAGACAGGGAGAAAGUUAUUGUUAUGAGCACCAUUAAUCCAACUAAGGACCUAUUGGCUGACUUGAUUGGGUGCCAGACACUUCCUGAAGACUGAUGUAAAAAAGUAUACCAGCUAAAGGACUUGUUGGACCAGAUUCUAAUGUUGGGCCUAGCUAAAUGAAUUAGCAUCAACCAGGCCCUACAGCAUGCCUUCAUCCAGGACAAAAUUUAAGCAAGAUGAAGAAACUCCAAGGGUUUGAGUAAAUACAGGGACUGAAGAAAUUUCACAGCACUUUAUUAAUGAAUAUAAACUUAUAAAUAUUUCUCCAGCAGAUUUGAGGAAGCAUGAUAUAUUUGAAUUUCUUUUAGAAAUGUUAGUUAAUCUGUUUUGUGUCUUAUGUGAAAUUUCACCACAGAACUGUUUUAAAUUGCCAAGACUGAAGAAAAUUAUAGUGCUAAUGUAUAUGGUUGCAGUUCACAUGAAAGACAAAAGCAUCUGUUAUAAAACGAGUAGUAAUAUUGGGUGGUUGAUUUGUUUUUAGCAGACUUGGCUUCAUUUUGGUCUUCAGAUAAAAUGGCCAGCAUAAACGCUGUUUAUAUUCAUGUUUUCCUAGGUGCAGCAUGCCGUUGAUGUAUUCAGUGCCGAAAGGGGUCUGUUCCUUCUUGAGCCUGCCUGCAGGGAUGGUCUCCUUAAAGAAAAUGUGGCACAUAUAUACCACAGAAUACUAU